UACGAAGGGGGCUAGCGUUGUUCGGAAUCACUGGGCGUAAAGCGCACGUAGGCGGAUCUUUAAGUCAGGGGUGAAAUCCCGAGGCUCAACCUCGGAACUGCCUUUGAUACUGGGGAUCUCGAGUCCGGGAGAGGUGAGUGGAACUGCGAGUGUAGAGGUGAAAUGCGUAGAUAUCUGCAGGAACACCCGUGGCGAAAGCGGCGCGCUGGACCACUACUGACGCUGAGGAACGAAAGCUAGGGGAGCAAACAGG
rnacentral:rRNA from 1 species